CAGCAGCCGCGGUAAUACGAAGGGUGCAAGCGUUAAUCGGAAUUACUGGGCGUAAAGCGUGCGUAGGCGGUCUUUUAAGUCUGCUGUGAAAUCCCCGGGCUCAACCUGGGAAUGGCAGUGGAUACUGGGAGGCUAGAGUGUGUCAGAGGAUGGUGGAAUUCCCGGUGUACCGGUGAAAUGCGUAGAGAUCGGGAGGAACAUCAGUGGCGAAGGCGGCCAUCUGGGACAACACUGACGCUGAGGCACGAAAGCGUGGGGAGCAAACAGGAUUAGAUACCCUGGUAGUCCACGCCCUAAACGAUGCGAACUGGAUGUUGGUCUCAACUCGGAGAUCAGUGUCGAAGCUAACGCGUUAAGUUCGCCGCCUGGGGAGUACGGUCGCAAGACUGAAACUCAAAGGAAUUGAC
rnacentral:rRNA from 1 species